GGGGAUCUGCCCGAUAGAGGGGGAUAACCACUGGAAGCGGUGGCUAAUACCGCAUAACGUCGCAAGACCAAAGAGGGGGACCUUCGGGCCUCUCACUAUCGGAUGAACCCAGAUGGGAUUAGCUAGUAGGCGGGGUAAUGGCCCACCUAAGCGACGAUCCCUAGCUGGUCUGAGAGGAUGACCAGCCACACUGGAACUGAGACACGGUCCAGACUCCUACGGGAGGCAGCAGUGGGGAAUAUUGCACAAUGGGCGCAAGCCUGAUGCAGCCAUGCCGCGUGUAUGAAGAAGGCCUUCGGGUUGUAAAGUACUUUCAGCGGGGAGGAAGGCGAUGGGGUUAAUAACCUUAUCGAUUGACGUUACCCGCAGAAGAAGCACCGGCUAACUCCGUGCCAGCAGCCGCGGUAAUACGGAGGGUGCAAGCGUUAAUCGGAAUUACUGGGCGUAAAGCGCACGCAGGCGGUCUGUUAAGUCAGAUGUGAAAUCCCCGGGCUUAACCUGGGAACUGCAUUUGAAACUGGCAGGCUUGAGUCUUGUAGAGGGGGGUAGAAUUCCAGGU
rnacentral:rRNA from 1 species